CCUACGGGUGGCAGCAGUGGGGAAUAUUGGACAAUGGGGGGAACCCUGAUCCAGCCAUGCCGCGUGUGUGAAGAAGGCCCUCGGGUUGUAAAGCACUUUCAGUGAGGAAGAACGGCUGGUGGUUAAUACCCAUCAGGAAAGACAUCACUCACAGAAGAAGCACCGGCUAACUCCGUGCCAGCAGCCGCGGUAAUACGGAGGGUGCGAGCGUUAAUCGGAAUUACUGGGCGUAAAGCGCGCGUAGGUGGCUUGAUAAGCCGGUUGUGAAAGCCCCGGGCUCAACCUGGGAACGGCAUCCGGAACUGUCAAGCUAGAGUGCAGGAGAGGAAGGUAGAAUUCCCGGUGUAGCGGUGAAAUGCGUAGAGAUCGGGAGGAAUACCAGUGGCGAAGGCGGCCUUCUGGACUGACACUGACACUGAGGUGCGAAAGCGUGGGUAGCAAACAGGAUUAGAUACCCCUGUAGUC
rnacentral:rRNA from 1 species